ACGGGGAGCAGCAGGCGCGAAACCUUUACACUGCACGAACGUGCGAUAAGGGGACUCCAAGUGCGAGGGCAUAUAGUCCUCGCUUUUUCCUACCGUAAGGUGGUAGGCGAAUAAGAGCUGGGCAAGACCGGUGCCAGCCGCCGCGGUAAUACCGGCAGCUCGAGUGAUGGCCAAUAUUAUUGGGCCUAAAGCGUCCGUAGCUGGCCGAACAGGUCCGUCGGGAAAUCCGCUCGCUCAACGAGCGGACGUCCGGCGGAAACCAGUCGGCUUGGGACCGGAAGACCCGAGGGGUACGUCCGGGGUAGGAGUGAAAUCCUGUAAUCCUGGACGGACCACCGGUGGCGAAAGCGCCUCGGGAGAACGGAUCCGACAGUGAGGGACGAAAGCUUGGGUCACGAACCGGAUUAGAUACCCGGGUAGUCCAAGCUGUAAACGAUGCUCGCUAGGUGUGGCACUGGCUACGAGCCAGUGCUGUGCCGUAGGGAAGCCGAGAAGCGAGCCGCCUGGGAAGUACGUCCGCAAGGAUGAAACUUAAAGGAAUUGGCGGGGGAGCAC
rnacentral:rRNA from 1 species